UCUCUAGUCCAGCUCUCUGAGAUGGGGUCUGGGACUCCCCUGCUGUGGAUCCUGAUGCUCUGGUCUCCAGGCUGCACUGGGGACAUUUUGCUAACCCAGUCUCCAGCCUCUUUGACCAUGUCUCCAGCCUCUUUGACCAUGUCUCCAGGGCAGAAGGCCACCAUCUCUUGCAAGGCGAGUCAGAAAGUCGGUGACAUUUUGGGCAUUACACACUAUAUUACGUGGUAUCAACAAAAAUCAGGACAGCAUCCGAGAAUGCUGAUUUAUAAAGCAUCCAGUCAAGCUUCUGGGGUCCCGGCCCGGUUCAGUGGCAGUGGGUCUGGGACUGAAUUCAGUCUCAUGAUUGAUCCCGUGGAGGAGGGCAAUGCUGCCUGUUAUUACUGCAAGCAGAGCAAGGAGACACCUCCCACGGUGCUCUGGGUCUAAACAAAAACCUCCCCAGGCGGCUGCUCAAUCAUUUCAAUGAAGAAAAACCAGCCUUCAACUGCCAGAACUGUCAGCUCUCUAUCUUUCAGA